rnacentral:rRNA from 1 species
UACGGGGGGGGGCAAGCGUUGUUCGGAAUUACUGGGCGUAAAGGGUUCGUAGGUGGCCAACUAAGCCAGACGUGAAAUCCCUCAGCUUAACUGGGGAACUGCGUCUGGGACUGGAUGGCUUGAGUGCAGGAGAGGAACGCGGAAUUCCAGGUGUAGCGGUGAAAUGCGUAGAUAUCUGGAGGAACACCGGUGGCGAAGGCGGCGCUCUGGGCUGGAACUGACGCUGAGGAGCGAAAGCGUGGGGAGCGAACAGG